GUCGUCAGCUCGUGUCGUGAGAUGUUGGUUAAGUCCCGCAACGAGCGCAACCCCUAUUGUUAGUUGCCAUCAUUCAGUUGGGCACUCUAGCGAGACUGCCGGUAAUAAACCGGAGGAAGGUGGGGAUGACGUCAAAUCAUCAUGCCCCUUAUGACCUGGGCUACACACGUGCUACAAUGGUUGGUACAACGAGUUGCGAGUCGGUGAUGGCGAGCUAAUCUCUUGAAGCCAAUCUCAGUUCGGACUGUAGGCUGCAACUCGCCUACAUGAAGUCGGAAUCGCUAGUAAUCGCGGAUCAGCACGCCGCGGUGAAUACGUUCCCGGGCCUU
rnacentral:rRNA from 1 species